rnacentral:rRNA from 1 species
GUAGGAUAGGUGGGAGGCUUUGAAGUGUGGACGCCAGUCUGCAUGGAGCCGACCUUGAAAUACCACCCUUUAAUGUUUGAUGUUCUAACGUUGACCCGUGAUCCGGGUUGCGGACAGUGUCUGGUGGGUAGUUUGACUGGGGCGGUCUCCUCCUAAAGAGUAACGGAGGAGCACGAAGGUUGGCUAAUCCUGGUCGGACAUCAGGAGGUUAGUGCAAUGGCAUAAGCCAGCUUGACUGCGAGCGUGACGGCGCGAGCAGGUGCGAAAGCAGGUCAUAGUGAUCCGGUGGUUCUGAAUGGAAGGGCCAUCGCUCAACGGAUAAAAGGUACUCCGGGGAUAACAGGCUGAUACCGCCCAAGAGUUCAUAUCGACGGCGGUGUUUGGCACCUCGAUGUCGGCUCAUCACAUCCUGGGGCUGAAGUAGGUCCCAAGGGUAUGGCUGUUCGCCAUUUAAAGUGGUACGCGAGCUGGGUUUAGAACGUCGUGAGACAGUUCGGUCCCUAUCUGCCGUGGGCGCUGGAGAACU